rnacentral:sRNA from 1 species
UUGAGUCUCCACAGAGUCUCUGAACUUAGAUUUUUGAACAAUUUGGAACAAUUAAAAUGUUGUGGCCUCUUGGAGAUGAACCAAAUGUAUUCUUUGUCAUGAGAUGGCUAUGAGUCUUUGCGAGCCAAGGACAGAAUGUUACAGUUUGAAUACGCAGAACCCCUCAUAGUCUUACUUGUUUUGAACUCUUUGUUCCGACCUGCUAACAGUAUCUUGGGAGUUUCUGAAAACUUUACAAGGUGAUGCCUAUCUAGGGACAUGCCUUUAGAAGGUGUGGCCUAGGUCAUUAGGUCACCUUUGAAGAUUACACUUGGAACCUUAUCCCCUUUUCUCUGCUUGUUGUGAGGUGACGAGCACACUUCUACCACGUUGUGUAUGAUACUCUGCCCAAGGGCAUGAAGCCAACUGAUAACAGAAUGAAGCUUCUGAAACUGAUCACACUACCAAAAUGGAUGCUGUCACCCAGCAAAUGGAAAAAAGCUGCUUCCUCGCCCUGACCUGACGGGAAUAUAAAGUGGUAUUGAUAUCUAGCAAAAGGUUAUUCCAGAUGGCAUGUGAAAUAUAUACAUACUUUUA